UCCCGGCUAGCUCAGUUGGUAGAGCGUCAGACUCUUAAGGAGUUUCUUCGGUUGCGAAGAUGAAAUCUGAAUGUCGUGGGUUCGAGCCCCACGUUGGGAG
rnacentral:tRNA from 1 species